AACGGGUGUAAAACGUCUCUAGCGAUGACAAGAAAAAGGGAAAUGUCGAAAGAGAUCAGAGCUCCUCCGCUGUUGUGUCAGCAUGGCCACAAAAUAAGCCAUGAAAGCAAUCACAUGAGAACGUCUCUGACUAUUUCGUGAGGUUUGCCACUUAAAUGGAAUUUUCAAUAUUUGUAUUAUUCGUCAUUUUAAAGAUGUUAUACUCAUGCAUUAAAUUGUAUGUUUUG